CAUGGUAAUGGAGUCACUUACUUGGAGUCCGACUCUCACUUUCUAACCCUGUGCACUUGUUUGGGAUAGUAACUCUCGCAAGAGAGCGAACUCCUAUUCACUUAUAAACACAAAGUCUAUGAAUGUAUUAAAUUUUAUAACAAAAUAAAACUUUCAACAACGGAUCUCUUGGCUCUCGCAUCGAUGAAGAACGCAGCGAAAUGCGAUAAGUAAUGUGAAUUGCAGAAUUCAGUGAAUCAUCGAAUCUUUGAACGCACCUUGCGCUCCAUGGUAUUCCGUGGAGCAUGCCUGUUUGAGUGUCAUGAAUACUUCAACCCUCCUCUUUCUUAAUGAUUGAAGAGGUGUUUGGUUUCUGAGCGCUGCUGGCCUUUACGGUCUAGCUCGUUCGUAAUGCAUUAGCAUCCGCAAUCGAACUUCGGAUUGACUUGGCGUAAUAGACUAUUCGCUGAGGAAUUCUAGUCUUCGGAUUAGAGCCGGGUUGGGUUAAAGGAAGCUUCUAAUCAGAAUGUCUACAUUUUAAGAUUAGAUCUCAAAUCAGGUAGGACUACCCGCUGAACUUAAGCAUAUCAAUAAACCGGAGGAAAACUUGGUGGCCGAACUCCCCCCUUCUUACCCACCCGGGGUGUUUGGGAGAGUAACUCUUCCCAGGAGAGCAAACUACUAUUCUCUUAUUUACACAAAGCGAUGAUGAUGUAAUUUUUUUACAAAAUAAAAAUUUUUUCACGGAUCUCUUGGUUCUCCCUCCUUGAGAAGGCCGCGAUGCGACAGAAUGUGAGUUGCUGAAUUAUUGAAUCAUCGAUCAUUGAUGACCCUGCUUCCUUGUAUUCGGUGAGCAGCCUGUUGAUUGGCAGAAUAAUACACCACCUCUUUCUUAUGAAUGAGAAGUAGUUUGUUUCUGACGAUGCUGCUGUUACUGUACCAGCCAGUCGUAGAUUAACUACCCAUCAACUUAGGUUGAUGCUGAUAACUAUGCAUGACGUAUUCGAUCUUCGAUCGAGCGAGUGGUGAGUACGAUGCUCGAGCGCUUAUUAGUUCGAUCAGUACGUAGACAUGGCGGAGCGAUGU
rnacentral:rRNA from 1 species